UACAGAGGUGGCAAGCGUUGUUCGGAAUUACUGGGCGUAAAGGGCUCGUAGGCGGCCAACUAAGUCAUACGUGAAAUCCCUCGGCUUAACCGGGGAACUGCGUCUGAUACUGGAUGGCUUGAGUUCGGGAGAGGGAUGCGGAAUUCCAGGUGUAGCGGUGAAAUGCGUAGAUAUCUGGAGGAACACCGGUGGCGAAGGCGGCAUCCUGGACCGAUACUGACGCUGAGGAGCGAAAGCCAGGGGAGCAAACGGG
rnacentral:rRNA from 1 species